rnacentral:rRNA from 1 species
CGCUGGCGGUAUGCUUAACACAUGCAAGUCGAGCGAGAAAAUGGCUUCGGCCAUGAGUACAGCGGCGGACGGGUGAGUAAUACAUGGAUAAUCUGCCUUUAGGACUGGGACAACCCAGGGAAACUUGGGCUAAUACCGGAUAAGACCACAGAAUCUCCGGAUUCAGUGGUAAAAGGUGGCUUCGGCUAUCACCUAUAGAUGAGUCCAUGUCCCAUCAGGUAGUUGGUGAGGUAACGGCCCACCAAGCCAAAGACGGGUAGCCGACCUUAGCGGGUGAUCGGCCACACGGGGACUGAGACACGGCCCCGACUCCUACGGGAGGCAGCAGUGGGGAAUAUUGGACAAUGGGCGCAAGCCUGAUCCAGCAAUACCGCGUGAGGGAUGAAGGCUUUCGAGUCGUAAACCUCUGUCAGUUGGAACGAUGGGUCUGUAGGUUAAUACCCUGCAGACUUGACGGUACCUUCAAAGGAAGCCCCGGCUAACUCCGUGCCAGCAGCCGCGGUAAU